AGAGCUCGCAGAGGGAAAGAGAGAGAUGAAGCCACCAGCAGCCUCUGGCUGGUGUGAGAACUUUGAGGCUCAUCCCUGCUGAGCUGUUGCUGAAGAGGGCUUGCUGGGGCCACAAGGCAGGAAGAAAGCCGCAGCAGUUUCUCUUCAUCUGUUGUCCCAGGAACAGAGAGGGAAUCGUGGGUGAGAAGCUGAGAGCUGAGCAUCACACCUGGAGAUGGAGCCUGGCGGGAAGACGAGCUCAUGUUGGCAAAGCUGCAUGCUGGCAGAUAACAGCCUCUUUUCCAGCCCUGGGGCAGUUUCCAGCUUCUCCAGUCACGUUCAACCCACAGCUGUAGCCGGAGAAGCCAGAGGGGAGAGAGCUACUCCAACCAUGGGAGGAAGCCUGCUGCUUCCGGAUCCCAUCAUAGAGCCCCGCUGGGGAGGGGCCAGAGUGGGAGCCCCCCACGGUCCUCCAUCCUCGAGCGCAGAGGAGAUGGGAGAGAGGCAGCGGUCUCUGCCUGGGGCUGGUCCACCCUAGCUCAGCUGAAACACAGGCUUCUCCAGCCCCGAGUCCAUGGGGUUGGACAGAAGGCAGUUUGGGGCCCCUCCCACCCAGACUGUGGGGCAGGCCCAGGACGCAUGCCUGUCGUAGAUGCUGGCCCUUCAGGAGUGGCUGCCCUGGGUAGGUUGGGGCUGGGAUGAAAGCCUGAGGCCUGGUCUCUGGGUCACUGUGUUGGGUAACUGCUGGCCAUGUUUGUAGAGCAUGCACACUCUUGUGUUCUGAUCUCUGCAGACCGUCCUUGAAGGAUGUGUGCUCCUGGGUCUGGGUAAUGUUUUUCCUUUCUCUUAAAAGAUAGACUUCUAAGAGCAGCUUUAGGUUCACAGCUAAACUAGGUGGAAAGUGUGACAUUUCAAUAUUCCUCCUCCCUCACACCCGUGGCUUCCCCGUCAUCAUCUCCACCGGUUGGUACUUGUGUUACAACUGAUGACCCCACAUGGACAUGUCAUUAUGACCCAGAGUCCACAGUUGACAUCAGGGGUCACUGUAGGUGGUGUGUGUCCUGUGGGUUUGGCCAAACAAAUAAUGACACGUAUAUUAUACAUCAAUACAGUAUCAUACAGAGAAGUUUCACUGCCCUAAAAACUCUCUGUUCUCCACCUGUUCAUCCCUCCCUCGCCACAAUCCCUCAAAAUCAGACCUUUUUAUCCUUGGCAUAUCUUGCCUUUUCCGUGACAUCAAACUAGUUGCAAUCAUAUAGCGUGUAGCCUUUGUUUCCUCCAUGUCUUCAUGACUUGACAGCUCGCUUAUUUUAGCAUGUAAUAAUAUUCCCAUCUGGAUGCCCUGUAGUUCAUUUAUCCAUCACCUACUGAAGGACACUUUGGUUGUUUUCAAGCUUUGGCAAUUAUGAAUAAAGUCACUGUGAAAAAGCA
ensembl:lncRNA